rnacentral:rRNA from 1 species
UACAGAGGUCUCAACCGUUGUUCGGAUUCAUUGGGCGUAAAGGGUGCGUAGGCGGUCGCGCAAGUCGGAUGUGAAAUCUCAGGGCUCAACCCUGAAACUGCAUUCGAUACUGCGUGGCUAGAGUGCUGGAGGGGAGACUGGAAUUUACGGUGUAGCAGUGAAAUGCGUAGAUAUCGUAAGGAAGACCAGUGGCGAAGGCGAGUCUCUGGACAGCAACUGACGCUGAGGCACGAAGGCCAGGGGGAGCAAACGGG